rnacentral:rRNA from 1 species
UGAGUAACGCGUGGGUAACCUGCCUUAUACAGGGGGAUAACAGUCAGAAAUGGCUGCUAAUACCGCAUAAGCGCACAGGGCCGCAUGGCCCGGUGUGAAAAACUGAGGUGGUAUAAGAUGGACCCGCGUUGGAUUAGCCAGUUGGCAGGGUAACGGCCUACCAUAGCGACGAUCCAUAGCCGGCCUGAGAGGGUGAACGGCCACAUUGGGACUGAGACACGGCCCAGACCCCUACGGGAGGCAGCAGUGGGGAAUAUUGCACAAUGGGGGAAACCCUGAUGCAGCGACGCCGCGUGAAGGAAGAAGUAUCUCGGUAUGUAAACUUCUAUCAGCAGGGAAGAAAAUGACGGUACCUGACUAAGAAGCCCCGGCUAACUACGUGCCAGCAGCCGCGGUAAUACGUAGGGGGCAAGCGUUAUCCGGAUUUACUGGGUGUAAAGGGAGCGUAGACGGCAUAACAAGUCUGAUGUGAAAGGCUGGGGCUUAACCCCGGGACUGCAUUGGAAACUGUUAAGCUUGAGUGCCGGAGGGGUAAGCGGAAUUCCUAGUGUAGCGGUGAAAUGCGUAGAUAUUAGGAGGAACACCAGUGGCGAAGGCGGCUUACUGGACGGUAACUGACGUUGAGGCUCGAAAGCGUGGGGAGCAAACAGGA